GUGUCCAGAAGUCUGGGGUUCUCUGGCUUUUUCACUUGGCUGGCUGCAGUUUCAUGGCUCUGACCUCAGAUCUCUAGCUGUUUCACUGUCAGAAUACCUAACUCCCCAGUUGCCUCUCCUCUGUCUUGUCUGACAGCUUUUUUAAGAACUACUCUUUUUUGGGGGGCGGGGCAACCCUCUGCUCCUGUCCCAGUGACCUCAGUGGUAUCCUAGAUGAUCUCUUCUCAACCAAGAUCUCACACCAUUUCCAAGCUGGAUGAGAGAUGGGUGAUUCUGGAGAGUGCUCAGUCCACCCCAGUAUCUUCACCAGAGCCUUCUACUUUGUUGACUGGAUCUGGCUCAUCAAGGGCUGAGGAAGUCCUUCAGGCAGAAUGAGGAAGAUACAUAGAUGGGCCAUCUGGAUAAGGAAAAGAGGAAGAAGAUUUGAGAUAAUAAAUGGAUAGCUGUCAUGGACUUUCCUCUUCUCCAGAACCAAGACCUACCACCUUUUCAGAGAACAAGUUCAUUCUGGCUGGAGCUACAACACCUGGUCCCUUUCUUUGUGACCUGCCCUGGAAGACACGUCGGCAGAGCUGAGUGAGGCUCCCUGUCUGGCUGCUGUCCUGGCUUGCAGGAUCUGGGAACACAUACCCAGAAACAACUCCCCAUCCAUGUGCCCUGCCCUUCAAAGUCUCACCUUCCUCACAUGCUUCUCAGAGAGCACAUACUUCAAGAAAACCAAAGGAAGAAAAAUAUUGUUCCAAGAGUUUUGGAAUUGACCUCUGGCUACAAAGAGCGUUGUGACUGGUUUACAAAGUUAUACGAUUCUCUGACAAAACUCUUUGUGACCAGAGCAACUACUUAAGAGUCUGUUACAAGGUGCACAGUGUAUUCUCUCUGUGAGCUUACAUCUGUGGGCUCCACAAAGGGCAUGCAUGCCAAAAGCCUGGGUAUGUGGUAGUUCCCAGUGACUGAAUCUUCUCCCAUUGGAAAAGGGAGGAACAGAAGAAAAGUCAGGGAAAUAGUCUAUGAGCUGGCUAGGUUUGAGUGCCCAUCAUUCUCUUGGGUAAAAGGCCAAAGGAAUGAGGGACAUGUCCCAAGAAGUAUGGCUGGAGCCAUGCCACAAAGUCAUACAGCCUCUUGGUGCACAGCUCUGUGCAUCUCCAAGACUCAGUCAGUAUUACAUUGACUGAUUCACUUGGUUUGUCCCCACCAAGACUCCCCAACACAGUGAAAGUGAGCAUAUGCCUUUCCUAGAUUGGCUUCAUUAUGGACUGGAGCCUUGACUUAGUAGUCACCUCCAGCCCAAAUCUGCUCUGCCCUUGUUUCCCACAGCAGGACUUGUGGGACUCACUUGGUGGUCAUGAUUGUAGAUCGUGAUGCACAAUGCAGUGAUUGGCUCACAACAGCUCAGCCUUCUUGCCACAUGGGAACUUCCUUCAAUAUGACCUGAUGCUCAACCACAUUUUGGGACAACAGAUGCCAGACCCUUUCCCAAAGCCCAGCCUCGCCAGUCUCUCAGCCAUCUUUCGGUCUUCAAUAAGGAAAUACCAAUGGUACCUGGCUGUCUUGGAGGCUGACUGCAGCCGCCCCAUGUUUCCCUCCUCUAAACUCAGACCAUUGUCAAGUCAAAAGCAUAGAUCAGAAACUUGUCUUCUACCAUGAGCCAGUACUGAAGUCAAUAUCCUGACAGCAGUGUGGCCACAG